rnacentral:rRNA from 1 species
GACGAACGCUGGCGGCGUGCUUAACACAUGCAAGUCGAACGGUGAAGGGACUGGUUUUGCUGGUCCUGGAUGAGUGGCGAACGGGUGAGUAACACGUGAGUAACCUGCCCCCUUCUUCUGGAUAACCGCAUGAAAGUGUGGCUAAUACGGGAUAUUCUGGGUCUGUCGCAUGGUGGGCCUGGGAAAGAUUGCGCCUUUUUUGGUGUUUUUGGUGGGGGAUGGGCUCGCGGCCUAUCAGCUUGUUGGUGGGGUGAUGGCCUACCAAGGCGGUGACGGGUAGCCGGCCUGAGAGGGUGGACGGUCACACUGGGACUGAGACACGGCCCAGACUCCUACGGGAGGCAGCAGUGGGGAAUAUUGCACAAGGGGCGCAAGCCUGAUGCAGCGACGCCGCGUGAGGGAGGGAGGCCUUCGGGUUGUGAACCUCUUUCGCCAGUGAAGCAGGCCUGCCUCUUUUUGUGGGUGGGUUGACGGUAGCUGGAUAAGAAGCGCCGGCUAACUACGUG